AGGUUACUGCUAUCGGUGUUCGCCUAAGCCAUGCGAGUCAUAUGUUCUUCGUGAACAUGGCGUACUGCUCAGUAACACGUGGAUAACCUGCCCUUGGGUCCGGCAUAACCCCGGGAAACUGGGAAUAAUUCCGGAUAACGCACAUAUGCUGGAAUGCUUUAUGCGUCAAAUGGAUUCGUCCGCCCAAGGAUGGGUCUGCGGCCUAUCAGGUAGUAGUGGGUGUAAUGUACCUACUAGCCUACGACGGGUACGGGUUGUGAGAGCAAGAGCCCGGAGAUGGAUUCUGAGACAUGAAUCCAGGCCCUACGGGGCGCAGCAGGCGCGAAAACUUUACAAUGCGGGAAACCGUGAUAAGGGGACACCGAGUGCCAGCAUCAUAUGCUGGCUGUCCGGGUGUGUAAAAUACACCUGUUAGCAAGGGCCGGGCAAGACCGGUGCCAGCCGCCGCGGUAACACCGGCGGCCCGAGUGGUGAUCGUGAUUAUUGGGUCUAAAGGGUCCGUAGCCGGUUUGGUCAGUCCUCCGGGAAAUCUGACGGUUUAACCGUUAGGCUUUCGGGGGAUACUGCCAGACUUGGAACCGGGAGAGGUAAGAGGUACUACAGGGGUAGGAGUGAAAUCUUGUAAUCCCUGUGGGACCACCUGUGGCGAAGGCGUCUUACCAGAACGGGUUCGACGGUGAGGGACGAAAGCUGGGGGCACGAACCGGAUUAGAUACCCGGGUAGUCCCAGCCGUAAACGGUGCUCGCUAGGUGUCAGGCAUGGCGCGACCGUGUCUGGUGCCGCAGGGAAGCCGUGAAGCGAGCCACCUGGGAAGUACGGCCGCAAGGCUGAAACUUAA
rnacentral:rRNA from 1 species